GACGAACCGUGCGAACGUUAUUCGGAAUCACUGGGCUUAAAGCGCGUGUAGGUGGGACGGUACGUCCGACGCUGAAAUCCCCCGGCUCAACCGGGGAACGGGCGCGGAUACGGCCGGCCUCGAGGAACGUAGGGGGAGCUGGAACUUCCGGUGGAGCGGUGAAAUGCGUUGAGAUCGGAAGGAACGCCCGUGGCGAAAGCGAGCUCCUGGACGUUUUCUGACACUGAGACGCGAAAGCCAGGGGAGCGAACGGGAUUAGAUACCCCGGUAGUCCUGGCCGUAAACGAUGGGCACUGGGUAGGGGGCUCGCCGAUGGGCUCCCUGCCGUAGGGAAACCGUGAAGUGCCCCGCCUGGGGAGUAUGGUCGCAAGGCUGAA
rnacentral:rRNA from 1 species